GUCCAGGACAAGGGAAGUGUUCUGACGGAGGUACUAAGUCGUGGUACCAGGCGGUCCGUCACACAGAGACAGAAGCUGUUAUCUGGGACUGCAGAUGAGCAAUGGGAAACCACUAAGUAAAACUGCACUUGUUGUCUUGUU